AUGGUCAACAGGAAUCUUUGUUCCCUGCUUGGAAACUCAGAGGACGUCAUGGAUGAAACUGCCUUUCUUAGCUUCCCAAGGCUCCCGGCUGGUACAAAAUCCCCACUCUCCUGCUUCGGGUCAUGGGAUCAUAGAGAUAAAAACUGUCUCAGGGGCUCUACCUUAACUGAGUUCUUUGGUCUUUGUAUUUCAGAAGCCAGAGGAGAUAUAUACAGGAGGAAAUAUUUAUGUUGUUGCAUGGACACUAAGUACAUGAUGAAUCUUCAUGUGUUUGAGAGGAGAAAACACCGUGUUCAAAGCCAGAAGUUGUGA
rnacentral:lncRNA from 1 species